rnacentral:rRNA from 1 species
UACGGGGGGGGGCAAGCGUUGUUCGGAAUUACUGGGCGUAAAGGGCUCGUAGGCGGCCAACUAAGUCAGACGUGAAAUCCCUCAGCUUAACUGGGGAACUGCGUCUGAUACUGGAUGGCUUGAGUUUGGGAGAGGGAUGCGGAAUUCCAGGUGUAGCGGUGAAAUGCGUAGAUAUCUGGAGGAACACCGGUGGCGAAGGCGGCAUCCUGGACCGGCAUUGACGCUGAGUGAGCGAAAGCCAGGGGAGCAAACGGG